rnacentral:rRNA from 1 species
CCUACGGGAGGCAGCAGUGGGGAAUAUUGCACAAUGGGGGAAACCCUGAUGCAGCGACGCCGCGUGAGUGAAGAAGUAAUUCGUUAUGUAAAGCUCUAUCAGCAGGGAAGAACAUGACGGUACCUGAGUAAGAAGCCCCGGCUAACUACGUGCCAGCAGCCGCGGUAAGACGUAGGGGGCAAGCGUUAUCCGGAUUUACUGGGUGUAAAGGGAGCGUAGACGGCAGUGCAAGUCUGGAGUGAAAGGCGGGGGCUCAACCCCCGGACUGCUCUGGAAACUGUACGGCUGGAGUGCAGGAGAGGGAAGUGGAAUUCCUAGUGUAGCGGUGAAAUGCGUAGAUAUUAGGAGGAACACCAGUGGCGAAGGCGGCUUACUGGACUGUAACUGACGUUGAGGCUCGAAAGCGUGGGGAGCAAACAGGAUUAGAUACCCCUGUAGUC